GAUGAACGCUAGCGAUAGGCUUAACACAUGCAAGUCGAGGGGCAGCAUGGUCUUAGCUUGCUAAGACUGAUGGCGACCGGCGCACGGGUGCGUAACGCGUAUGCAACUUGCCUCACAGAGGGGGAUAACCCGUCGAAAGACGGACUAAUACCGCGUACACUUGGGAUAGGGCAUCCUGACCCAAGGAAAUGAAAUUCGCUGUGAGAUAGGCAUGCGUCCCAUUAGCUAGUUGGUGAGGUAACGGCUCACCAAGGCGACGAUGGGUAGGGGAACUGAGAGGUUGAACCCCCACACUGGUACUGAGACACGGACCAGACUCCUACGGGAGGCAGCAGUGAGGAAUAUUGGUCAAUGGGCGAGAGCCUGAACCAGCCAAGUCGCGUGAAGGAUGACUGUCUUAUGGAUUGUAAACUUCUUUUAUACGGGAAUAACAAGAGCCACGUGUGGCUCCCUGCAUGUACCGUAUGAAUAAGCAUCGGCUAACUCC
rnacentral:rRNA from 1 species